AGUGAACGCUGGCGGUAGGCCUAACACAUGCAAGUCGAACGGCAGCACAGUAAGAGCUUGCUCUUACGGGUGGCGAGUGGCGGACGGGUGAGGAAUACACCGGAAUCUACUUUUUCGUGGGGGAUAACGUAGGGAAACUAACGCUAAUACCGCAUACGACCUACGGGUGAAAGCAGGGGAUCUUCGGACCUUGCGCGAUUGAAUGAGCCGAUGUCGGAUUAGCUAGUUGGCGGGGUAAAGGCGCACCAAGGCGACGAUCCGUAGCUGGUCUGAGAGGAUGAACAGCCACACUGGAACUGAGACACGGUCCAGACUCCGACGGGCGGCCGCAGUGGGGAAUAUUGGACAAUGGGCGGAAGCCUGCUCCAGCCAUACCGCGUGGGUGAAGAAGGCCUUCGGGUUGUAAAGCCCUUUUGUUGGGAAAGAAAAGCAGCAGGUUAAUCCCCCGCUGUUCUGACGGUACCCAAAGAAUAAGCACCGGCUAACUUCGUG
rnacentral:rRNA from 1 species